rnacentral:lncRNA from 1 species
AGACCUUCUAAAAAUAAGCACAGGUAGAUAUGAAGCUUAAGGCAAUAUAUAAAAAGAAUUAAUUUCCUCCUAAAUUUAAUUGUCUUUGAGCAACUGGAAAAGGGUAUUAUUCAUGCCAAUUAGCAGAUUACAAGAAUUGAAAACUACUUAUCUAGGCCCAGAUAUCUGUGGGUGUGGGACUCUUAUUAGUACAUAGGCAAUUCAACAUUGGAGAUGUAGUCUAACACAGUUAUCUUUACCCCUAAAUACUCUCCUUAUUCAUUUAACUCAUCACAUCUUUUAACUAAGAGCUCUAAUUUAUAACUUUAAAUAUGCCUAUUUUGGAAAUGUUCAUUGUCUUCCUUUCCACAAACACAUCCCGUUAAGGUGUGUAUACUCUUGGUCUCUUUUCUCUGUUCCAUUGUAUUAAACACACAGAUAAAAGUAUCCAUCUGUGUUUUAGUUAGCUCUCUACUGCUGUGAACAGACACCAGGACCAAAGCAACUCUUAUAAGAACAAUAUUUAAUUGAGGCUGGCUUACAUGAUCAGAGGUUCAGCCCAUUAUCAUCAAGGCAGGAAUAUGGCAGCAUCCAGGCAAACAUGGUACAGGAGGAGCUGAGAGUUCAACAUCUUGUUCCAAAGAUAAACAGAAGGAGACUGGCUUCCAGGCAGCUAGGAUAAGAGUCUUAAUGCCCAUGCUCACAGUGACACACUUCCUCCAACAAGGGCAUACCUACUUCAACAAGGCCAAACCUCCAAACAGUGCCACUCCCUGGGCCAAGCAUAUUCAAACCACUAUAAUCUGUUAAUAUGUCUUCUGUAUAUUACUACUUUUUUUUUGCUAUAAUUUCACUUUGAACAUAAUGGGAAUAAAAUAAACCAACAGAUUAAAAAGCAACCCCUCCAAGAAAGUGAUUAUUGUGUGUCAAUGGGGUAACCAUGGCAAACAAUAGGACCUUGAGAGUGGCUAAGGCUGCUUCGGUUCUGUGAUAGUGUAGGGCGGGGCUUCAGCGAGAGCUCAGCUUCAGGCUUACCUUCAAAGUGGACGCAAUAGUAGUUCUUGGUGUCGAUGAACUUUGUUGAGGAAAAUAAUUACAUUUGAGUCAAUAGUUCACUUAUUUGUUAGUGAAGUAAAUUAAGCAUCAGUAGUCAGUCACUUAUCCUGGUUUUAUUUUAUUAUCUAAGGUCCUGGUAGCCCAUGUGAAUGGUGAGUACUACUGUCUACUUAAAAGGGCUUUUGGGAUGAGGAAGUGAGCAUACAGUGAACUAUUAGCCCCCCCGUACCUGUUAGCUAUCAUGGUGCAUGUGUGCACUGAAGAGAACACACAGUAGUCUUUAACUGUGAUAAAGCCUAAAUCAAGAGCGAUGCCCCCUAUCUCACUGUGUGAGUCUAGUUGUUGCUGUGACCAAGUUACCUGACAGAAUUAAACUUAGGGAGAAAUUACUUAUUUGGGUUCACUAUGUGGGAAGAUGAAGUUUACCAUGGAGGAGAGGGCCUGGUGAAGCAGAGUCGUUCAACUCAUGGCAGCCAGGAAGUAGAGCAAAGGGACACAGGAAGAGGCAAGACAAGAUCGAAACCCCUAAGACGUACUACUACAGUGAUCUGCUAAGAGGUCUUCCUAAAGAUUCCACCACCACCCAAAACAGCAGUGUCAGCUGGGGACCAAGUAUUUGACACAUGAGCUUGCGCGGACAAUUUUUAUUCACGUCAUAGCACCCAGUUCCCCAUAGGAAAUGUUUGAUAGUAUCUAAAAAUACCUGCUGAUUAUAGAGACCUGCAACUGAGGUCUAGUGGUUAGACUAGUGAGUGAUGUUAAAUGUCCUACAGUGAACAGGGCAGUCAUGCAAAGAACUAUCCUCUCCGUAAUGACAGUAGUAUUUGAAAGUCUUCACAGUCUUGCUAAUGCUGUGACUCUUUAAUUCAGCUCCUCCUAUAGUGCUGACCCCAACCAUACAAUUACAUCAUUGCUACUUCAUAAGUGUACUGUUGCUACUAUUAUUAAUUAUAAUGUAAAUAUAUAAUAUGCAGGAUAUCUGAUAUUCCACCACCAAAGGAAUCAUGGCCCACAGGUUGAAAAUCACUGCUUUAAAAGUAUGGACGUACUGUUAUGUCACAACUCUGGGUAGGGAGUUUGCCAUCAAGGUCCCAGGGUCAGACUAUAACUUCUCAGAUUGUCAAUCUAUACAGCCUGGAAAAGGAUUGAUUUCAACCAACUGAUAUUAAUCACUUGGGGUUUUGUUGUUGUUGUUGUUAGAUACAGUAUCAAUGGCUGUAUUGAAUUGUUUGUUGACUGAUAAAUGUAGGUGCUAAAUAUGUUAGAGGAAGGAAAUGGGAUGGAGGGAAAAGAUGUAACUGUAUUUUAAUUAAAAACAGAAGCCAAGCAGUGGUGGUACAUGCCUUUAAUCCCACAGCUCUGGAGGGAGGCAAAGGCAGGCAGAUCUCUGUGAGUUUCAGGCCAGCCUGGUCUACAAAGCAAGUUCCAGAGCAGCCAGGGCUGUUACAGGGAGAACCUGGUUUGAAAACCCAAAACCAAAAACCAAAACAAAACAAAAACCAAAAAAACAAAAAAAAAAAAAAUACCCAAAAAACCCAAAAAACUUUAAAAGGUUUCUUCAACCCCCACCCCCGUUUUUUGCCUCCAUCCUCUGUGACAUGUUAACAGGACCGAUAUGUUGUCUGUCUGUUUGUGUGGUUGGGUAUGGCUGAGGUUUCCAAGGUUAUACAUCACUAUGUUAGUCGAGUCCAAAAGAAAUUGGGGACCAAUGGCUGUAGUGGCUAUUAGCGUACUGAGCGCUGUUGCCUUCCAGGCUUUCUCUGAGAUCCAGGGCUGGGAUCUCACAAAUGUGUGGCUCUUCUUAGCUCUUCUCACCCAUUCCUACUGUAAACCUCUCUCCCCACCGUCAGCUCCUGCAUCCCUUAUAGCUCCAUUGUUUCAGCUAUGUGCUCUCUGUCUUCCUUUCUUGGUCCCCUCUCUCUAGUCCGGUCUCAUCUGCCUGCACUCUCUUUGUCUUGCUUUCUUGCUCUUCCCCUCUCUCUUGCCUCUCAUGGCCCCAUUCAGUCUGCUGGCCUAGUCUACUACUUUCUCUACUCUGGACUCUUCCAGAGACCUCUGGCUGUUCUCUCCCUCAGAGGUACAAUAAAAAUCCAUGUCCCCAACCGCACCUUGGAGCUGCCAUGUCCUCAGUUGUUACAUUCAUCUGCAUGCUUGACCUAUUAAAGACAGUUUUUGCACUCUUGGGGAAAUUUCCCACCACGGAGGCAGCAUCUCCAAAUGAAAUGGGAGCGAACUCAGCCAAGUGCUAUUUUGCAUUGCUGCUUUAAUCACCUGCUCAAUUAAAAGUGGCAUGAUAACUCUGCAUUUGGGAUCAAAUGGAAACGACAACUUAACGUUCUAUUGACUUCAGAUGCUCACAGACAUGAAUGUAACGUCACUGAAAUCUGAGAAUGCAAUAAAUAAAUAAAUAAAAUCUGAUUGUGGCCCAAAUACAGGAUAAACUGAAAAGGAGAUUAAGGUUUUCCUGAGAGACAAGCGAUCUGACUAUAACAUCAUAAGAAGGAAGCAUAAAAGGGUUCCAGAGGCAACACAGGGGCAGGGUAAUUUGAUGGAUACGGAAGCUGAAGGAAUAAUAAGAAAGUUUCUUAUUUGUGGGUCAAAGCUUGUACAGUAACUAGGCACCCCUCCCCACCCCACCCCCAGCCUGUACAUUGUUUGAAAAGUAAAGAUUAAACACAGUUAAAUCCACAGAGUGAGAAACCAGCCACAUCCUGUAUUGGGGUGGAUUGGCAACAGACAGCCUGUAGGCUAUCACCUGGUUAUCAAACCACAGGGCUGGGAUCUCUGGUCUUUUCCUAGACAAGCCUGUUUACAUCCAUUUCCUUUGUUGCGCCGGCUGUCACUUGUUUUAUGAUGUCUAUGAGCCUUCAGUAAAAGGCUUCUGUCUGAGAACAGCCUUAUCUCUUAACACAGCAUUUCCCUGAAUGCCUACUGUCAGGUCAGCUUUCCCGCUUCCUACCAGUUCCUGUGGGUUUCCACAUCCUUAACUCCCUCAACCCACACAUUGCUGUGGACUGCCUCCUCCGGCCUUCGUUGUCUAACUGUAGACUUUGAAUUCUUUCCCAUUCUUAUUUCUCUCCACUGAACGAACUUCAUAGAGGAAGAUAGAUGGGCACACGACUGCCCAUCCUGAUCCCCUUAAGUCACGGAGCUGUGGGCUAGAUUGGCCGUAACAUUCAAAUUCUGAUGUAGUCUAAGCAUGCAGUUUGGAGUAACCUUUGCUGGUAUGAUGUCAUAGCCUUUGGCUUUUCUGUUUCCCACUAACAAAUAUACUGACAGAAGCCGUUUUCUUUGCAGAUGGGUGAAUGUCAGUAAAUAGAAAUACUACAGUUCUCUGCAGUAUACAUUUUGAAUUUUAUACCUUCCUUAUUUGUUAGCAUCUAACAGCCACUGGGGAUAAGUCUUUAAGUCUGCCUUUUUGUUUUGCUUUGGAUUUUUUUUUUUUUUUUCUGUUCAAGGUGACAGUUGAUGUUGACUCCAGAGUCAGAGUGUAUAUAUCAUGGAUGCUCAUUUUUCUAUAGUACACUACAACUUUUUAGGUGUGCACUGUAAGUGACCACAUACAGAGGCCUAGCUCCUAUCCUGCCUGUGACAUUGUCUGAAGGUAGAAUUUGUCAGUUUUGAAAUGUUUGUGAUUUAUUCAUGUGUGUAAAUAUGUGUGUGUGUGUGUAUGUGUGUGUGCGUGUGGCACACUUGUUGGUGCCUGAGGUCAGAAGAGGUAUUUAAUCCCCUCAACCUGGAGUCACAGGGUUUUUUACAUCGCUCAUUGUGAACCACCUGAUGUAGGUACUGGGAACUAAAGCCAGGCCCACUGGAAGAGGAACAACUGCUCUUAGCUACUGAGCAUCUAUCUCUCCAGCCCCUGAAGGUAGAGGGCUUUUUUAUUUUUUCUAUGUUUCAUAUUUAUGAGCCUGGCCCUGCUCUGGAACAUGGUUGUUUCUUAACACGAGCUCACUGAAGCAAAGGAGUGAUUGUUUCUCUCCUUCUCCAUGUGGGCUCUUUGCCAAGUUCCUAACAAUUCUCCUUUCUCUGGAAACUCCAACUUGGUGUUUGCUAGUCCUUCCUUGAACUCCUGCACCCACCCACCCCCGCUCACACUUAACUGACUAGAGGUGAACCGUCCUGUAUCCGGGUUACAUUCGCUUCUUAAGACUGAGAAAUUGAGAGCCAGUCUAUGUGGCUGAGCCCAGAUCACAUUAGAAGACAGCAGCUCUUUCUAACCAGCCUGGGAGUGAAGAGUAGGGGAAGCCAACCUUCCAAAGCUGAAAAGCAGACAUCACCACACAGGGAAGAGCAGGCAAAACUGGGGUGAGAAUCCAGAGGCAUUCCGACCCGCUCUGGCUGUCCUUCUACAGUGUCUGCAAGACACCUUUAUACUCUCAUAAUACAUUCCCUUAGUGUUAAGAUGGAUUCAAGUUGCUUUUCCAUAUUUGUGCCAAAAAAUCCUCCAUUAUAUCAAACAUCCAGAUUUCCCACUUCAAUGAAGGGAAUUAUACUUGGCAGAAAAAUAAUGAUCAGAAAUGUUUUAAAAACUAUGAACUUGACGAGAGAUUGAUUGUUCUUGUUAGGUGAUAGGGAGCUUGCCCAACACACCCAAGGCCCUAGGUUGUCCUUCAGCACUGAAAUAAACAAGAAACCCAAAACCUUGUAAACAAGUCAGGAAUUCUUUAAAAUGGAUUUGGAUUUCAGAACACUGGUAAAGCAGUACUCAGGGGCUUUGUGCAUUCUUAGUUGUGAAACAAUAGGAAGAUUUUUUUUCCUUGAUAAAGAAAGAAAAAUAAUAAAAUAUCUGAACUUACCACAGAUAACACUAAAGCCAAGAGCCCAGCAGUGGAAAUAGGGUACGUGAGCUAUGCACAUUGUUUUUCCUACUUCUGCAGUUCUGUCUUCCUGCUCCAACCAUCAGCACAGCCCAUGUGUUCUUCCAUCUCAUGGUGUCCUGAGCUUGCCUCCUCCCACCGGAACACGCGGCCAUCUCUUCUUAUGAGAACUCCCGCAGUGACCAUAUUUGGGAGCCUGUUGAUAGCGCCCUUGCUGUCCAUGAUUCAGCUCCCGACGAGGCCGGUGACCUUCUCAACUUCCUAGCUGUCCCGUCACCGCUUCCAAGUGAAACUUUUAAUGACUGUGUUUAUUUUUCUUCAGUCAAGUCCCACACCUGUCCGGCCUCAUCCUGUUCUCUACUUCCUCCCUGCCCAUGCCCUGAUCGGGGUUCAUCUUAGGCCCGUGUCUUGUUGGCUUCCUUUCCCCUGCGCCUCUGACACAGGUUAUUUCUUCUCCUGGAAUAUCUUUUUUCUUUUUUUCUGUCAUCCAGUUUUGUUUGGCCUCUUUCACUAGGAUUCCUGCUAAGAUAGGACUAUGCGUCCAGUUGUUUCGGUCACACAGCAGCAGACAAUGUAUGUGAUUAUGUAACGGUGUCAGCAAGUUUCACUGAGACAAUAAACACAUGGAAAGGUACACCAAGAAAAAAGUGAGCAGAACAAAGCUGUCUUCAACUUAGCUUUCGUUUUCAAACACUGAAUGCACAAUUCCAUUUUUACAGUUUCUUUUAGACCAGUGGUUCUCAGCCUUUGGGUCAUGACCCCUUUGGGGGCUGAAUAACCCUUUCACAGGGGUCGCCUAAGACAAUGGGAAAACACGGAUAUUUACAUUAUGAGUUGCAACAGUAGCAAUAUUACAGUGAUGGAAUAGCAAUGAUGAAACAUGCUUGGGAGGUCACUACAGCAUGAGGAACUGCAUUAAAGAACCACAGCUUUAGACACGUUGAGAACCACUGUUGUAUGACUCGCGAGCUACAUCAUUAAUAAUGAUAAUAUCUUUUUUACAAGUAAGGAUGUAAGAGUAUUAGUAUAUAACACAUUGGUAUUGUUAGCUUUGCUCCUAGCCAAGCUAUAAAUUGUAAUUUAAUAACUUGUUGUUGUUACUAGUGGUGGUGGUGGUGGUGGUGGUGAUGGUGAAAGUAGCGGUGUGUGUGCAUUUGCACAAGCAAGAGUGAGCAUAUGUAUGUGUAUUGGCCUCUUGUGGGUCAGGGGUCAAUGUUGGGUGUACGUAUUUAUUUAUUUAGACAAGGUCACCCACUGGACCUGGAGCCCACUGAUUUGGUCAGGUUAGCCUGGACAGUGAGAUCCAGAAAUCUUCUGUUUUUCUCUUUCCUUAUACUGGAGUCCACAGAUAUGCAUUGCUUUAGUGCCUAGGUUGUUUAUGUGGCUGUUGGGGCUAUGAACUCAAGUCUCCAGGCUUGUGUGGAAGGCACAUGACUCACUGAGCCAUCUCCCUAGUCAUUAUUUAAGUCUUACACCUUUGAGACAGUGGUUUAAUCCUUGGAGCCUAAUUUCCCAUGGCUUGAGAGAUAUGCCAGGGAUGUGGAAGGAAGAGGACUCUUAUAGUAAGUAACUCCCAGAGGGUCACAGAAGAAAGAGGCUCUCGGAGCCAUCGCUGAGGUCUGCAGUUCUGGCAGUCAGCAUGAGGUAGGCAGGCUGACGGAACUGAGGGAGUCAUGGGGACCCUUCCUCUUGUCUACGUAUGUAACCGAGAGUAUGUAACCCUCCAUAGAAGGUAGCCUACCCUGCUGAGGGAAGACCUUUCUCCCCUCCAGACUACAGCAGUCACCAUAUGCUUGGUGAGACCUUCCGUAAACACUUCACGAUAAGAGGAGGAAGAUGAAAGACUCCAGAGGUUCAGGAUUGCUCCAAAGUUUCCUGAUAAGGGGAGUAAAGGCAAAUUGCAGAGUGACGACAGACAUUGAUCACCAAACAGAGAGGUUGAGAAUCUUCAGGCAGUGAUGGAAAAGGACGGGAGAAGACACAGGAGGCCUGCCCGGGAGCCAGGAACACAAGCCUGGUCAACAGGCUGUCUGACAAAUAUUCCCAGAGUAAAACUUGGUAGACUGGCUACUUGCUUCCUGUAAAUCUUUGUAGAUAGAGUUAGUUUUCUUUUGGAAAGAAUAGUCUUGGCUGCGAAGUUAAGGAAAGGCCAGCACUUAGAAAAUACUCAGUUAUGCAAUUAUGUUGUCAUGAUUCAUUUUCAUGACAUAUACCAUAUACUCUGUCAAGGCUGGAGAUGUAGUUCAGUUGGUCGAAUACUUGCCCAGCUUGCAAGAAGCUCUGGUUCGAUCUGUAUAGCACUGUCUAAACUGCACACAGUGGUGCAUCCCUGUUUAGCAUCCGCACUCAGGAGAGGGAAGCAGGAAGAUCAGAAGUUUAAAAUCAUCUUCUACUACAUUACGAGUUCUAGGCCAGCCUGGGCGACAUGAAACUCUCUCUCUCAAACACACAAAACAAAACAACAAAAACAAAAAAAUCGAGCAAAUAAAAACAAAAACCAAACCAAACCAACCAACCAAACAACAACAAAAAUAACAUUACCAAAGCCUCAACCAAGAGCAUUUUCUGAAAUUAAAUACAAAAAGCCAGCAAAUGCUGUCCAUGCAGCAAGAACAAGAAUCCUGGUGCGACUGUAUCUUCAUGAAUUCAUCUCCACCUUCCCUUUCACUCAGAGGGUGGCCUCUUAUUUGCAGCCGUGGGAUGGAAUCAGUGAACCAAACACUUGAAACCAAUUUGCUGGUUUUCGAAGAGGUUAUUGAUUCUCACAGCGGGCAUCUGCUUAGAAAACUUCAUUGUUUAACUCUCCAUGUGGAUGAUUCUUGCCACACACUGUCUUAAGUCGGGCAGAUUGUGCAUGGUGUAUAUUCUGUCUUGGCUAUAUUGGCAUCUUCAGAGGAGUUGAGAAAUGUUUAACAGGUCCGACUGUUGCCUUGAGUUAAAAAUACCUGUACGUGCUCCAGAGGAAAUGUCUGAUUUGGUGAUAGAUAUUUAUUAUAAGCAUGUGCCUUGCUUUGAGGGUGGAUGCUGAGAGAGAUGUUUCUGGGCAUUUUGCACAGUGCCGAGAAGACAAUAGAAGUGAUUGAUAAACACACAAUUAAGUAAAUAUAUUUUUUGGGUCUUUCUUUUUCUUGUGUGAAAGUAUAAUUGCUUGAGAUGUUGGUGAUUUAUGGCUUUUCAGAAGCCCUGUUCUUCAUAUAGAAAAGUCAUAGUUUAGUGACCUGAAUUUUUACUCUUUCAGUAAAAGGCAGCUUCUUUUCUCACUACAAAAGAGCUCCGGGGACACCCGUGCUCACUGCAGGACCUCUUGUGGGAUGUUUUGUUUGUUUUACUGCAUAGUAAAAAUUCAAGUGAGUAACAGUCAGCUUUGAGUGGGUGAGAAUGAGCAAAAACUCAGUGUGUUUGAAGUUAGUUCCUGCUCUGCGUUUUAUGGAAACUGAGGGUGGGGCGUGUAGCUCACUGGGAGAGCACCUGUUAGCCUGUCUAAGUCCCUGUUGAAGUUCAAUGCCAGCACUGGAAAAAUGAAACAGAAUAAAAUAAUGAGGUAAAACGAAUAUAUGUAAGAUGAUCAUGGUACAAACUGAUCAUUGCUUCCUCUCACACUUGGUAGGGUGAGUCCUACCCGGCCCUGACUAUCAACUCCCUUACUUUCCCCUAAAAUGCUGUUAUUACCCCCAGGAAAGGCAUCUUCCAGCAGAAAGCCUGACAUUUUGAAGCAGUCUGAGUAGCCUGAUUUGCAGGAAGAAGUGAUUUCUUUUUCUACUGGCCAUUGGUAAAGUGAUCAUGGUGAGCCACUUGGCUAUCACAUCCCUAACAGUCGAAGGCUUUCAUCUGUGACAAGGGGAGUUUCUUUUUGCCUAAUGGGGAGUGACAUCUUUGUUCCCUGGCCCUUAGCUGUGAGCGCUUGUGGUGGAAGAAAAUCAUCCCUGAGGCCACACAAUCAAUGCAAGCUGGGGGGUCUUUCUGAUGAAGCAUUCUAUUUAGGAAUAAACUCCAGAGCUGCACCUGGGGAAGCAAUUAGUGAAGAAAGGGAUCAAGGUUCCGAUUCUCUCAAACAUCUGCAACUUCAUCAAGAACAAAACCAAAUCACAAAUGGCAACAACACAGAGUUAUUUCUGUUUGGGGUCCUGCAGUGAGGGGGAGGGUAGCAGAGCAUCGUCUAAACUUAGAGGAGAACACAAACAAACAAACACAAAAAUCACUGCAGCAUGUCACCCAAGGCACAAGUCAGGGAUGGAAGGUGGGCAAGCAGGGCAGGGCCCUGCAUCCCAGGAGCAGGAGGAGGCAUCUGAGGGUACAGAGCUCGUCAAGCCUGCAGCCUCAGGUUGCAGACCUUACACUGUGGUUUAGGCAAAGGCUGGGUGGCAGGUGACCGGCUGGCCACAUAACUGUCAUGGCAACUGUGUGUCUUAGGCUUUGAUGAUUGAACUUAAGGUCCUUCUGCUGAAUUUCUUAAGGAAAGUUGUUGCAGAGAAUCCUCAGGGAUGUGGGAACAGGGGUCUCCCUUUACAGAUGCUAAGGUCACCUUGUCAUAGCACCUCCAGUGCAGUCUACAGCAGCCACUAAGAAAUGAAAGUCUGAGACCAAAGAGCCAGGAGGAGCCAUUCAUUCCUGGGGAUGGAGAGGUGGGAUGGUAUUCCCAGCAUUAAAGUAAAUUUAAAGGGGCUGGGGGGACCCUGUUGCAGGAUAUUUUUAAUAAUUGACACCUAUACCACAACAGCUCUUUGCUUCUCCCCUUUAAUCCAUUCUGGAGAAAAGUUUCAUCAGAGAUCAGGAGAAGCAGGCUUUGGUUUUAAAGUUAAGACUCUAUAAACAGCUGGUUCAGAAACUGUGUGGGUUCCAGCUCUGUCAGGAUGUGAGAUUUCCAGAGGCUCUGAUGAGGCAGGGAUGACAAAGGAGAAGGAAGAGAAUUGGUGUGUGAUGGAGGGAAGAGGGACAGAAAGGAAGGGAGGCCAAGGGGAUUUUGAUGGUUUGUAUAUGCCUGGCCCAGGGAGUGGCUUCCUAGCUGCCUGGAAGUCAAUAUUAUGCUAGCAGCUUUCAGAUAAAGAUAUAGAACUCUCAGCUCCUCCUGCACUAUGCAUUCCUGAAUGCUGCCACAUUCCCACCUUAAUCGACUGAACCUCUGAACCUGUAAGCUACUCCCAAUUAAAUGUCCUUAUAAGAGUUGCAUUGGUCAUGGUGUCUGUUCACAGCAGUAAAACCCUGACUAAUACAGGUGAAGAAGGAGAAGCAGAGAGCACUCAGUUGCUGUGGCCCUUGUCUGCUCUGAGAAAGACUCCCCAGCCUGCUUCCCAGACGGAACAGUGCUCAGUGACAAUAUCCAGAUGGCUUGGUGUCAUCACUGGUUCCCAAAUAGAACCCAAUGUGACUGCAAACCUGAAAACCAAAGUGGGUGAGUGAUAUGUAAGGAGCGUGUGAUCUAAGCCAACCCCAACAGACGAUGCACAUUGUAGCACAGCAUACAAGUGUGUGAAUGAGCCUUCUGUGCUCAGAGUGUCACAGAAAAGAUGACAAAGGACCCAGAGAGUUUCCUAGAAGCCCGGUGGUAUGAAGGCUGUGGUAUAAGUGUGCCCUAUGGUACCAAUAGUCAGAGGAAGUGUGUAAAACCUGGAAGAGUCCAGAGCAGGAGGCAGCUCAAUUGUAGCGAACCAUCAGCUAAGAAGGACAUCUCAGCCAAAACUGAUGCAGGAGAGAGAGAGAGAGAGAGAGAGAGAGAGAGAGAGAGAGAGAGAGGAAGAGAAGAGAAGAGAAGAGAAGAGAAGAGAAGAGAAGAAAAGAGAAGAGAAGAGAGAGGCAUCCCUUCAUUGUUCCAGUACUAAUCUAAUGACAGGAACAAACACGUAGAUUUGAGUGACAUUAUGACUCGUACAGUGAAUGUAGGCCCUGGAUUGCUAAGUCACUAUGGAACUAUAAAGUUAAAUCUCUUUACAAUUGUGUUUCUAGAUGGAGAUGUGAACUCAGAAGUAAAGUUAUUCUAUACAUUGAUAAGGAAGCUGGAGAGAUGCCUUCUUAGUUAAAAGUGAUUGCUGCUCUUUCAGAGGACUGAGGUUCCAUUCCUGGCACCCACAUAGGGUGGCUCACAGUCACCUCAAGCCUCAGCUCCAAGGGAUUCAAUGCCCUCUUCUGGCCUCCUAGGCACCCACAUACACAUGACAUUAAUUCAUACAGAGGUACUCACAUGCACAUAAAUACAAAUAAUAAAAAUGGUCUAAAAUGUCUCCAACAUGUCUUUUACAAACCUGCUGGCCAUGCAGCCUGAACCACUCCAGAUGCUCUCUCUGUUUUGAUUCAUUUAAUCCUUGAGAAGCGUCCAGCAGAUCACAGUUUAUUCCUGUUGUACUGACAGAUAAAUGUCGGCUCAGUGAGUGAGGCUGGGAGGACCCGUGUAACUGUGUAGUUUGCCUGACACAGGUCGUUCCCACAUUUUCAGGCAUCCCUCCUUCAGUCCUCCAUCAACACAACUUCCCCUGUCUUAUGUGUCCCUUAUGCUGACCCACUUCUUUGCUUUUGUUCAGACCACUCCUAAUCUGCAUGCUGCCCCUUUCCUUCUAUCCCUCUGUCAUCCUUUUCAUUUUCUAGGCACUGUUCAAAUCCACCAGUUCAUAGACACUUGCCUAGCCAGCCCCAUACCCAUCCCUUUAGCACUUCCUGUAUUCAUCCGGUUCCUUUAUCAGAGGCAGCCCUGCAGCCUCCGUGCUUGGUUAAGCUCACAUCAGCUACCGGAGUGGAAACCCCAGAAGUGUUCUGACUUGUGACUGUACAGAACCUUAGCAUCCUGAGCUGGCAGAUGGCAUGGGCCUUGUCUAUGUGUGUCAAAUGAGAUUGAAGCCAAAGUUCUGAAACUUGGACUUAGCUUGGCCUGGAGCUUGGCUAUGUACUGUUUCUCCUCUUUUUUUUUUUCCCCCAACUUGUUUCUUGUUUAACCACAAAAUAGUUUAAAGACUUGCCCACUGAAGAGUGGCACGACCACCUAGCUUCUGUAGUAUCUGCUCUCUUGUACGUGUGUUGUCAUAUCUAUCUGUCUGCCAACCCUGUGACCCAGCCUCACUGGCUUUCAAACUCAUCCAAUGCCCGGAAGUGCUUUGGACCAGAUGUGGGAUUAAUUCCCUUCCUCAAUCCAGCUGUAUGUUGCUUUGAUUAUGUUUUUGGUUUUGUUUUUAUCUUAACCUGUGCCUGACUCCCCAUUUCUAAAUUGAAGGUGGGCAGCGAUGCCUGAUUCAUAGAGUAUGGUGAAAGCCAAGUGAGAUGGAACAAAUACGAACUCUGGGACCUGGUGUGUGUUCAGCGAAUGGGGGUGAGGAGGUAUUGGGGUUUGGGGUAUUGAAGACAUAAUAUUUCAACCAUCAGUACACUUUCUAGCAAAUUGGGGUUUGGGUUACUAUUAGUUUCAGUCUCUAGUUUAGUCCCUGAAGAAAAAGAAAUGCAUGAAGGUGUAAAUCUUAAGCCCUUCCUUGACUACAAGGAAGAAAUUUCUGGUUCUAAAUAGUGAGGUGAAGUGACCUGCUUUAGGCUUGGAGACUGCAUUAGAAAUCCGGGCUCCCCCACCCCCACCCCAACCCUCCACUCUGCUCCAAAAGCCACAGAACCACAGAUCAUUUGCUUAAACCCAUACAAGACUGGGGUUGGGGGCAGAGUCCAUGGCUUGUUGAAAUGUAGAACUUUCCUGGAACUUGAGAAGAUUAAGGGAGAAUGUCAGAGCUCUUCAGAGCCAUAAAAUCCAGUUCCGGAGCCCCUUUAUGCUGGGAUUUGCGUAUUUCAGAGUAUAAGCCAUCAUUACCACAAUCCUCUAAGGUGCAUCCCUAUUAUGGAACCAUCUUUAAUUAGGCUUCAGAUCAUCUUGCCCCUGAAAUGGCCCUGCUGAGUGAUGGCUGGAGACUGCAGGAUUAGAUCAUGUUCUUUGGGGCUUUGGAUCAGAAGGUGUGUAGGACAUUAGAGGGUUGGUAAACGGAGCUUCAUCCUGAUUUCCUACCUGUAUAACCACUGUGCUCACACCCACACUCAGUCCACAAGACUUCUAGCAUGCUCUGUAGCCAGUCACAUCAGGGUUAUAAUGGUGCAAAUAGUCACACUUUGGAUAUAUGAAUUGUGGUUCAUCUUUAUGAAGUUUUCUGUGGCACACACAGAAUUGGACCUGCUAAUUUCAAAUUUGUGUUCAUGGGUGACAGGAAGAGUUGUUCCCAGGUGAGCUGGAAAACGUCAUAUGUCCUUAAAAAUCUCUACAGAUUAUCUCAGCCUCUUAGCUUGGUGCAUGGUGUCACACACCCUUAACUGCAACACCUAGGAAGCAAAGGCAGGUGGAUCUCUAAGAGUUCAAGGCCAGGCUGGUCUAUAUAAAGAAUUCCAGGGCAGCCAGUACUACAUGGAGAUGGCCUGUCUCAAAAAUAAAUAGACAAAUAAAUAAUUGUCUCUUGAUUCUACAUAUAUAGAGUUCUUCCUAAUAAAAUCAGUGAGUGAUGAAGUGUGUCUAUUUUUGAAAAGAUGCUUUUUUUGUUUUGUAUUUUUAAUGAUGUACAUUGUGUGUGUAUGUUGGGAG